AUAGUUAUGAUUUUAAUAAUCUUGAAUAUGAACAAUGCGCAUGCUCAGAUUUUUCAUCAGUCCAAUCAGUGAAAUUCAAGAACUUUGUAGUGUCAACGAAUUUUCCAAUUUUUCAGACAGAAAGUUUGCUCCAAGUUCCCGGAUUCAAGAACUUAAACGAUAUAAAAUGCCUUUAAUAAGGCAUUUUUCGCGAACAACAGUAAGUGAUUCAAUAGCUAUUUUCAAAGCUCAAAGAGUAGCGAUUAUUUCUGGCGAUAAAUGUAGAAAAAAAAAGCAUCAAUAGCCAACUAAUUCAUAAUCAGAUGAAAAUGUUUGGAUUUAGUCUCUAUGAUGAACAACAUAUCCUGAAAAGCCCCCACAAGGUUCACUUCGAAAUGACAAGGGUAAAUAUGUGGUUCAAGGAAAGUACUUUAUGAUGGAUAUAAAAUAAAUUUCAUACAAAUUUAAUAUAAUGAAGCUUUUAUGGUCAUUAACACUUUGUCGCAGAUGGGACACCGGGGUCCCUUUUAUAUGUAUACUAGCUGUAACCUGCGAGAGCUGCAACGCUUUCAGUCUAAAUUAUAUAUAAAUUUUUCAUUUACUUGUGGAAAUGUGACUUGUGAUUGUGAUUUGAGCUGCGAAUUUUAUUUAAUUGUGAAAAAACUUUUGACAAUUUCACGGUUCUCUGUAAACACGUUUAUUCAAGUGCUUUUGAAUAAAAAAUG